UGGCAUCUUUAAAAAAAUUUGAAGGAUAAGUUCUCUACCUACCUAACUAUCAUUGAAAUUGAGCCGCGAUAAUGGUAUUAUUCAGUAAGGAAUAGUAGUAGAUACCUAACUCCAAAUUAGCCUACUUUUCCCAAAUUUAUCCCACCAUUUACCUAAGCCAAGUUACAACCUUGAAGACCUCAAAAAAUGUGUGUGAUGUAUUU
rnacentral:lncRNA from 1 species